UCUCAUGGAUGAGCAAAGAAAGUGGAUUCUUGAGAUGGAAUCCCCUCCUCCUGAUGUUGCUGUGAA
rnacentral:pre_miRNA from 1 species